GAUGAACGCUGGCGGCGUGCCCAAUACAUGCAAGUCGAGCGAAUGGACGAGAAGCUUGCUUCUCUGAUGUUAGCGGCGGACGGGUGAGUAACACGUGGAUAACCUACCUAUAAGACUGGGAUAACUUCGGGAAACCGGAGCUAAUACCGGAUAAUAUUUUGAACCGCAUGGUUCAAAAGUGAAAGACGGUCUUGCUGUCACUUAUAGAUGGAUCCGCGCUGCAUUAGCUAGUUGGUAAGGUAACGGCUUACCAAGGCAACGAUGCAUAGCCGACCUGAGAGGGUGAUCGGCCACACUGGAACUGAGACACGGUCCAGACUCCUACGGGAGGCAGCAGUAGGGAAUCUUCCGCAAUGGGCGAAAGCCUGACGGAGCAACGCCGCGUGAGUGAUGAAGGUCUUCGGAUCGUAAAACUCUGUUAUUAGGGAAGAACAUAUGUGUAAGUAACUGUGCACAUCUUGACGGUACCUAAUCAGAAAGCCACGGCUAACUACGUG
rnacentral:rRNA from 1 species